rnacentral:ncRNA from 1 species
AUGUUAUCAAGAAAGGUGGAGGGAUUAGACCCUAUGAAACCUUAGCAACCCUUUGUUUAUUUAUACAAAGAAGGUGCUACAUUCUACCGCAUUAUAUUGCGGAGAGAUAACGA